AUUCUGUGUCUCCAGCAGGCAACUUAAAUAUUUGAGAAGACUCAAGUAGAGAAAGCCCUCCUAAUUUCCAGAGGAAAAUUAAUUCCAAAGAGGACUGAAGUGCUGAUGAUUACCAAUAUAUUUCAUGGAGAGCUGUGCUUAGCAAGGAUAUCUUAUCUAAGUUCUUUCCAGCUCACUAUCAAGUACUGGCUGCUUCACCCUUGCCUGCUUCUUGCAGUUUUAUCUCUGAGCAGACAGCUGAAACAACUCUGCAAAACAUAAUCAUCUCAUUUGGAUCAAAUCAUGAAGCUUUCAAGAAUAAAGGAAAAUAAAUACAAUCUCCUUUCCCCUUCCCACACCAUCACUAUAACACUGAAUAAACAUGUAGGUAAUCUGCUGGCCAGAACAGAAUAUGGAGUACAGAUGUAACACACUGGCAUUGGUUGUUGCUUCUCAGGGUUGGAGGAGGCAAUUUGCUUUGACUGAACCUCCACUGACCUGCAAAGAUAGAUCAAGUCCAGACAUUUGAACCAAGUUUUGACUUCAAGUGAUGAAAGCUCAGCUACCUGAUAAAUCCCAGUUCUGAAGCUUUCCUGAAGCCGUGGAGCAGGCAGGCUGGGAGAUGGACAUUUGACAGGCCACAAUAGACUGCUCCUUUCCCAGAUGUCUGCAUAGGUCUUGGAAGAAAUGAAAAGCAAAAUGCUGCUAUGCGAACUAAUCCAGUGUUUUGUCAAAAUAUUUCCAGAAUUGCAGUCAGCUAUAAAUUAGUUUGAAGGAUUUUUUCUGUAAUAACAAUUUUCAGCAUGAAGCUUGAUGUUCAAGUUGAAAUCUCAAACUGCUACUGAUACUGGAGAAGAAACAGAAAACGAUUAGAGGAAGAAAUAGCAGAGAAUUUUUUAGCUAAAUCUGUUCUGGUUUAUAUGAUGUAUUAUGUAAUUAUGUAUUUGGGUCUUGUGGUAAUGAUAUGUUUAAUGUAAAUUGAUGCAAUAAUGAACUUUAUUGAACAGAUUUUAUAGUACUCUAAAUUUGCUUGAUAUCUAUAUAUCUCUAUCUAAAAUUGAUAAUUCCACAUCAUAAAAAUAUGUUUCUGUUGAAUGUGCUGCACAAUUAAUC